rnacentral:rRNA from 1 species
GACGAACGCUGGCGGCGUGCUUAACACAUGCAAGUCGAACGGUGAAGCGCCUUCCUUUUUGGUGGGUGUGGAUGAGUGGCGAACGGGUGAGUAACACGUGAGUAACCUGCCCCCUUCUUCUGGAUAACCGCAUGAAAGUGUGGCUAAUACGGGAUAUUCUGGGUCUGUCGCAUGAUGGGUCUGGGAAAGAUAUUGUUUCGGUGGGGGAUGGGCUCGCGGCCUAUCAGCUUGUUGGUGGGGUGAUGGCCUACCAAGGCGGUGACGGGUAGCCGGCCUGAGAGGGUGGACGGGCACACGGGGACUGAGACACGGCCCAGACUCCGACGGGAGGCAGCAGGGGGGAAUAUGGCACAAUGGGCGCAAGCCUGAUGCAGCGACGCCGCGUGAGGGAUGGAGGCCGUCGGGUUGUGAACCUCUUUCGCCAGUGAAGCAGGCCUGCCUCGUUUGUGGGUGGGUUGACGGUAGCUGGAGAAGAAGCGCCGGCUAACUACGUG